GGAAACAGGCUCCUCCCUGGAGCUUCUAGAAGGAACGCAGGCCUGCCGAGACCUUGAUCUUAAAGCGUCUGACCUCCAGAACCCUGAGAAACGUAUGCCCUGUGAGCCGCUAAAUUUAUAGCGUUACAGCAGCCCCAGGAAACGGAUAUAAAAUGUCAUCUAUUGGUGAAAACUCUCACAGUCCCCGAGCUCCCGGCCAGCUCACGUGGAGGCCACCGGCCCACCUGACGCCUACCAGGCACCUAACCGCAACGUGUCGGAACCCUUUCCCGGCGUCCCCCAAACCCGCUCCGCCUCGUCUUCCGAGGGGGGAGAUGGCGACAACCCAUCCCCCCGGUGACUCAGGCCACGACCCUGGCCUCGCCCUCGGCACCCGCACAUCCAGUCGUGGGCAAACUUGCUGGCUCUGCCCUCGAGCUCGCCAGGUGGCCGAAGCGUCCCUGGACUCAGGAGACCACGGGACCCUGAGCCUGAAGCUGGAUCAAGAGGAACUAAAACCAUUCAGGGGACACCCGAAUGCAGGCUGGAAGGUCAGAUCCCCUCGUUUUACUCAGAAGGAAGCCGAGCCCGGAACGCAGGAUGUCUCCCAGCGCCCGGCUUCCCAUCCAGCGUCCUGCACCUGUGCUUCCUGCUGUCUGCCCCCCUCCCCCGAGGGCGCCCCGGUGAGGCCCCUCCUGAGGACGCCGGAGGGACCGGCUCGGCCCCACACACUUACUCCAGUCGUUCCUCUUCUUUCCUUCUCAGGUCAAAGUCCCGCUGAACCACUUCCCAGACGUGCUUGGCCUCUUCGUCCGUGAGCUUGGAAAGAUCCAGUUUUUUCCCCAUCUCUGCUUGUCAGGAUCACACCUGGAAUAGGACAGGAUCACAGGUGGUCACCCCGAAAGCCCGUGGACAGAGGCUACGUCACAAGGCCCCACAAGAGGGGCCGUGGGACACGCCGAGUUCCCAGUGUGACGGCUGCUGUCCCUCGUCCCUGUCCAGCUCCACGAGGACGGAGACUUUGUCAUUUCCCUGGCACACCGCAGGCACCGUUCCGUGCUCCCAGCGCCCCGGCCCGAGGACGAGGCCGCUACACCCACAUCAGCUCUUCUCUGGGCACCGAGGCUCAGGGGAAAACAUGGUUUGGGCGACCCUUGUGGGGUGAGAACCUGUGUGACUUCAACAAGCCUUCACCGAGGACUGUCGCCCGUGUCUCAGGGACAUCGGAGAAGGGGGUCCCAACUGUCUCCUCCCCCUGGGAACCCUUCAGGCCAACCGAAAGACGUGACGUUGCUUCUGAGUUCUGGGGAGCACCCCCCCCACCCCGCCCCGUGCUGUUCACAUUUGCAUGUUCGCCGCGGAGACGUCAACAAAAACUGCUCUGGGCCAGAGAGGACUCUGAUGUGUUUCACAAGGGGUUAAUUAGUGACAAGCGACAUUUCCAGGGCAGCCAGACACCACCUAACAUGAGCGCUUUCUCAGAGUUCCCAACUAAAAUGUCCCCUGACCUCUGCCUUAAAUUGGUGAAGAGUCAUUUCUUAAUAUUUUUUGCACCAAACCCUCAGGGGUUCCCCCUACGGGCACGACGCUGACCGUGAAUGACACAUUCGGGAGUUGCCUUGCUGUGCCAGUCAUUCAAACUAUUUUCACGGAUAGUUUAGAUUUUGGACAAGAAAACCUUAAAACAAAAUUCACUGUUGCCGUUCUCCUGGAAUACGCAAUUUCUGGUUUUUGAAGCAUCGGGGGGAAAGUUCUUUUGUGAUGGAUGACUGGGGUUUAUUCAUUUCUUUAAACCACUUUUGGAAAAAAAAAAUGUAUCCUAAGAACCACGUUCAUUGAAGUUCUAUUUUCAGAGCAGAUGAGAGAGCCGUGACCAUCAGCUGACUCGUUACCACGUCUCCUCUCCAAAGGGACGUCAUUCCAGGCUUCCUUUAGGAAACUUAGAUGGUGGGGCACCUGGGUGGCUCAGCAGGUUACGUGUCUGCCUUUGUCUCAGGUCAUGGUCCCGGGUCCUGGGAUCAAGUGCCGC